rnacentral:rRNA from 1 species
UACCAGCUCUCCGAGUGGUAGGGAUGAUUAUUGGGCUUAAAGCGUCCGUAGCCGGCUUAGCAAGUCUCCUGUUAAAUUCAGCGACCUAAUCGUUGAGCCGCGGGAGAUACUACUAGGCUAGGAGGCGGGAGAGGUCAACGGUACUUCCGGGGUAGGGGUGAAAUCCUAUAAUCCCGGGAGGACCACCAGUGGCGAAGGCUGUUGACUAGAACGCGCACGACGGUGAGGGACGAAAGCUGGGGGAGCGAACCGGAUUAGAUACCCGGGUAGUCCCAGCUGUAAACGAUGCGAGCUAGGUGUUGGGGUGGCUACGUGCCACUUCAGUGCCGCAGGGAAGCCAUUAAGCUCGCCGCCUGGGGAGUACGGCCGCAAGGCUGAAACUUAAAGGAAUUGGCGGGGAGCACCACAAGGCGUGAAGCUUGCGGUUC